UACGGAGGAUCCAAGCGUUGUCCGGAUUUAUUGGGUUUAAAGGGUGCGUAGGCGGGUCUUUAAGUCAGUGGUGAAAUCCUGCAGCUUAACUGUAGAACAGCCAUUGAAACUGAGGAUCUUGAAUUUGGUUAAAGUAGGCGGAAUGUAUCAUGUAGCGGUGAAAUGCUUAGAUAUGAUACAGAACACCGAUAGCGAAGGCAGCUUGCUGAACCAAUAUUGACGCUGAGGCACGAAAGCGUGGGGAGCGAACAGG
rnacentral:rRNA from 1 species